AUUUUGCAAGCCGAAAGAAUCGGAGUUCUACCAGAGGGAAAUUGGCCAACUUAUGCUCUCGAAGAGAAGUUUAAUCGUUUAUGGACAGAAUUUAAACGGUGCCGAGGAAAUCUCAACGAAGAGAUUCUUUGUUCCAACCGAGAUUGCCCCAUCUUUUAUAUGAGGACAAAAGUUAGAAAAGAUCUCACGGAACAGGAUAAACUUAUGAAAAGAUUCGGCCUACCCUGACAACCUACCGCUCUCGUCAAUGAUGGUGCAUACAGUCUCGUAGGGGGCUAGUCGCUAGGUGGCCCAGGUGAUGUGCUGAGCUGAGCUGCUGAUGGCAACAUUUAACAUGGCGUCGUAGCGGCUGGUUAUAUCACGGCAGCCGAACGUAGCAGACCUUCCUUUUUGUAGGUGAAAUUCAAGGGAGGAACUGCAAAUGCUCGGCGCCAUCUUGUACGAACGAUGUGGUCUGGCGAACACCUUGCCAAGGUGACCAUGCAUUACCUUCGAGUGUAUUUAAGUUGCAAGUCGGUAGAUUUGCUCCGCAGUUUUGCCGGAUACCAGCAUCCUGCUUCGCGAGAACUACUCUACGUUGUUCUGGGAGGGCUUAGACGAACAUCUGAAUCCGAUUUUGAAGAAGUCUUGCAUCGAUGGACACUGACGAAAUAUAGGAAGCUGCACAUGAAUGUUGGGUAUUUUAUCAUAAGUAGAAUACAGAAAGAUUCUGUAGUAGUAGAUCUCUUUAGUUGGGUAUUGAAAUUGGCUGUGGUGUGUCUGGGGUUCGAUGGGGUCUCAGUUGCAUUUGAUCCUACUUGUUAUUUAUCCCUGCCAAUGCCAGUCGAAAAGGAAGUACCAGUUGACCUGUAUCUGGCUUACAUGGAUCUUUUAGCAGAAAAUUUUCUGCUUUCAAGGGAUUCGAAGAGUUUGCAAAAUAUUAUGUCUCUAGGAUUCCACAGUUUUACGUAAUUCAAUUGACAAGAAAUUUAUACUAAUUCUUGUUUAUUUUUCUAAAGGCAGAUUCGUAAUUAUAAAGAAUUGGGAAAGAAAUUUGAUGGAGGCUCAGUGCCAAAAAAAUUAUGGUAGUUGGAAUGAUUACCGAAGCUCUUCGGAUUCGUUUAUUUCACGCGUUAUGGUAUUUAAAGAAAAUAAACGUGUACCUGGACCCCUUUGUAUCUGUGACCCGAUUUCCUCUCCACUUGUGAUAAUUCUGCAGCGGGUCAUGCAGAUACUGUGAUCAGCAGAGAAGGUUAAAAGUGCGCUGCCCGGAAAGCAAAUUUGGGGUAAAAGAAAAAAACUUAUUCCAACUAGUAAGCCAUUUCCAAAUUCAACCAACAAAAAAGUACACAGUGAAAUUUGCUUGACAAUUACUUCCACGCAUCAUGGUAUUUAUCUAUCAGUUGAAUUGUAUGGUUAAUUUUCUGUUCGUGUAACCUCAUUUUCUCUUGAAUCACCUGCGCCUACGUUGACGAUGAUACCUGUACCGAAGUGCUGGAAACUAAAAUUAAUUUUUCUUACAAUAUGGUUUCAGGCUAUCUUUAUAAUUUUUUAAUAGUUUUGCGUUUAUUGAUGAGUCCACAAGCUCUUAGCUGAUUUCCUCCUUUAGA